rnacentral:misc_RNA from 1 species
AAAGUCCGUAACAAAGGUUUCCGUAGGUGGAACCUGCGGAAGGACAUUAUCAUUAGGGGGUCUUCAUGGCCUGACUCCCAAACCCUGUGUUUUAUUAUAACCACGUUUCUUCGGCGGGGUUCCGCUUUUAUCGGACCGCGGGGGGUCGCGAACUUCCUGGCCCGCGCCCGCCGAUGGCCCCCAAUAAAAACUCUGUAUAAACCAUGUUUGUCUGAGUUCUUAAAAUUAAAAUUAAAAACAAAAA